rnacentral:lncRNA from 1 species
ACCCUUUUUUUAUCCUUUUCAUUGCAUGUUUGCUUAAUAUUGCAUAAAUCUAGUGCUUUCUUGGGUAGCUCCUAGUCUUUGCGUUGUAUUCGGGCAUCAUGCCUAGUCUAGAUAGACAACAAUUUUAUUGUUGUCUACCUAGUCGGGCUCCUAGUCUAGCUUGUGGUAGUUGAAUGUUAAAUGGGAACAUCUCAUCUCAUAUAUCGGCUUUAAUAGUCGGUAUGAUGAUAUCCUUUUGAUGGGCCACGCCACAGGAAAAAGCUAAAGCCUAGAUGUUCAUGCAUAUCACUCAUUUAUUUUUUUAUCUUUAUUUUAACCACAACAUAUUUGUUUAAAUGCAUUCAUCCUCCACUUUGCAUUGCCUUGCAUAUAAAAAUUAAAAAAAAAUAAUAAUAAAAGAAAAAAAAUAUUUGCCUCUUGUCUUCAUCACUCAUUAUCUUGUCUCUAGUAUAAUGAAUCUUGUUCAUCCUAUCAUGCUCCCUCUUUCUAUGUUAGUAUGCUUUGGUUUGGUUAUACUAAUCGCUCGAGUGAGUACCUCCAUAGUCUUUUUAAAUUAAGCAUGGUGCUUAGGUUAAAUAGACUAAAUCAAACAAGACAUGGUGUUAAGUUUGAUUAUUGAACCAAACAUACUUGCAUGGAACUUGGUUGCACUUUUGGACUAACCCCUGCAGCAAGAAUAUCGAUAUCUCUAUGGGUAAGUCAUGAGAUCAUUCAAGGAGACAACUUGAGAUCCUCAUGGUCGAAGACAAGUUUCUUGGCCAAAGAGAUCUUCGAUGCAACUAAGAAGGGCCAAUGCUAUGACUCAUCAUCGCCAAGGUAAGUGGCCACCUUCUUAAGAGUUUUCUAGGAGUUUGAUCCUUGAUAGAAGAAGUUGACAUGCU